UAUAUUUGCCGCUCGAAAGACAAGCUUUCGUGUACAUAACAAUCAUUUACAAUAAUAUUAGAAUG
rnacentral:ncRNA from 1 species